GACGAACGCUGGCGGCGUGCUUAACACAUGCAAGUCGAACGGAAAGGCCCUUCGGGGUACUCGAGUGGCGAACGGGUGAGUAACACGUGGGUGAUCUGCCCUGCACUUUGGGAUAAGCCUGGGAAACUGGGUCUAAUACCGGAUAGGACCACGGUCUGCAUGGAUUGUGGUGGAAAGCUUUUGCGGUGUGGGAUGGGCCCGCGGCCUAUCAGCUUGUUGGUGAGGUUACGGCUCACCAAGGCGACGACGGGUAGCCGGCCUGAGAGGGUGUCCGGCCACACUGGGACUGAGAUACGGCCCAGACUCCUACGGGAGGCAGCAGUGGGGAAUAUUGCACAAUGGGCGCAAGCCUGAUGCAGCGACGCCGCGUGAGGGAUGACGGCCUUCGGGUUGUAAACCUCUUUCGCCAGGGACGAAGCGCAAGUGACGGUACCUGGAGAAGAAGCACCGGCCAACUACGUGCCAGCAGCCGCGGUAAUACGUAGGGUGCGAGCGUUGUCCGGAAUUACUGGGCGUAAAGAGCUCGUAGGUGGUUUGUCGCGUUGUUCGUGAAAACUCACAGCUUAACUGUGGGCGUGCGGGCGAUACGGGCAGACUGGAGUACUGCAGGGGAGACUGGAAUUCCUGGUGUAGCGGUGGAAUGCGCAGAUAUCAGGAGGAACACCGGUGGCGAAGGCGGGUCUCUGGGCAGUAACUGACGCUGAGGAGCGAAAGCGUGGGGAGCGAACAGGAUUAGAUACCCUGGUAGUCCACGCCGUAAACGGUGGGUACUAGGUGUGGGUUUCCUUCCUUGGGAUCCGUGCCGUAGCUAACGCAUUAAGUACCCCGCCUGGGGAGUACGGCCGCAAGGCUAAAACUCAAAGGAAUUGACGGGGGCCCGCACAAGCGGCGGAGCAUGUGGAUUAAUUCGAUGCAACGCGAAGAACCUUACCUGGGUUUGACAUGCACAGGACGCCGGCAGAGAUGUCGGUUCCCUUGUGGCCUGUGUGCAGGUGGUGCAUGGCUGUCGUCAGCUCGUGUCGUGAGAUGUUGGGUUAAGUCCCGCAACGAGCGCAACCCUUGUCUCAUGUUGCCAGCACGUUAUGGUGGGGACUCGUGAGAGACUGCCGAGGUCAACUCGGAGGAAGGUGGGGAUGACGUCAAGUCAUCAUGCCCCUUAUGUCCAGGGCUUCACACAUGCUACAAUGGCCGGUACAAAGGGCUGCGAUGCCGUGAGGUGGAGCGAAUCCUUUCAAAGCCGGUCUCAGUUCGGAUCGGGGUCUGCAACUCGACCCCGUGAAGUCGGAGUCGCUAGUAAUCGCAGAUCAGCAACGCUGCGGUGAAUACGUUCCCGGGCCU
rnacentral:rRNA from 1 species